CCCCUAGAUGUUCUGGGCCGCACGCGCGCUACACUGAACAGUUCAACAAGUCUUAACCUUGGCCGAUAGGUCUGGGUAAUCUUUGAACGCUGUUCGUGAUUGGGAUAGACCUUUGCAAUUAUGGGUCUUCAACGAGGAAUUCCUAGUAAACGCAAAUCAUCAGCUUGCAUUGAUUACGUCCCUGCCCUUUGUACACACCGCCCGUCGCACCUACCGAUUGAAUGGUCCGGUGAAAUCUCGGGACGGCGGCUUGGUCGCUUGCGUCCGACUGCUGAAACUUGAUUAAACCAUAUCAUUUAGAGGAAGGUGAAGUCGUAACA
rnacentral:rRNA from 1 species